GACAGCUUGGCCGAGUGGUUAAGGCGAUGGACUUGAAAUCCAUUGGGGUAACCUGCGUGAGUUCAAAUCUCAACAGCUGUCG
rnacentral:tRNA from 1 species